CCUACGGGCGGCAGCAGUGGGGAAUAUUGCACAAUGGGGGAAACCCUGAUGCAGCAACGCCGCGUGAGUGAGGAAGUAUUUCGGUAUGUAAAGCUCUAUCAGCAGGGAAUAGAAAAGAAGGUACCUGAAAAAGAAGCCCCGGCUAACUACGUGCCAGCAGCCGCGGUAAUACGUAGGGGGCAAGCGUUAUCCGGAUUUAUUGGGUUUAAAGGGUGCGUAGGCGGACUGUUAAGUCAGCGGUAAAAGCCCGGGGCUCAACCCCGGCGAGCCGUUGAAACUGGCUGUCUUGAGAUGUCGAGAGGUAUGCGGAAUGCGCAGUGUAGCGGUGAAAUGCUUAGAUAUUGCGCAGAACUCCGAUUGCGAAGGCAGCAUACCGGCGGCGAUCUGACGCUGAGGCACGAAAGCGUGGGUAUCGAACAGGAUUAGAUACCCUUGUAGUC
rnacentral:rRNA from 1 species